GGGGACCGGAGCAUGACGACUAAGGGCCUGGGCAGGACCUAAGGGGACAGGCAUUCCUUUACUGCGAAGCUGGCUUUGUCUGAUGCAGGCAUCCCCAAGCAAGGGUGCGCUGUCUCUCGCUGGAGGGCCUCCCCUCUGCAGGGGUAGAUUCCUGUGACUCAGCUUUCAGGCCAGUGGAGGGCCUUCGCCCCACCCCAGGCCUUUUUGUCUCCUCGCUUGCGUUCUCCCAGACUUGGGGGGAAGGUAAAGCACCUUUAAGUCAUUAAAAACAAAAAUGUUUCAUCACUGUAACAUCCAUAUUUUUUUCAUCGCUCUAAUUUUUGUGAGCACCCAAAUAGAACAACCGUAAUAUUUGCUGGGUGGAGGGUAAUUUAUCCGGAGUUUAUAGAGUACAACGCCUUCCCCUUAGAAGAAAAGUCAAGUUCAAGCUCUACUGUUGACUUGCUGCCUGACAAUGAGGAAGUUCUUUUACUUUUCUGUUCCUUAUUUUCCUAAAUUACAAAAGUGAUUGCUAAGGAGGCCAGUGUUGAAUGCCCAAGACUGCAAUCCCAUUAUCUCUAAAAUCUUAAGAUUAAAUUUAAAAAUCGAACUCCCUAUUUUGAAGGGAGCCUUUCCAGCGCAAGCCAUUUUCGAAGCGCGCUUCUCAAUGCAUGUCCGGAAACCGGGGAGAUUUACGUGGAGAGGAGCAGUUUUCCAAAUGGCAUCUGACUCUGUGCGCACCGCUCCCCUGCAGCUGAAAUUCGUUACAAAUUACCCCCCUGUUGCUGAAAAGAGUACAAAUAGCAAGCCUGCGCCUGCAAAUGGCAGGUGAAGGGAAAAAGGCCCACAGCUUGCAAAAGGCCUACUUGAGAUUAUUUUGAGACGCGAAGGGGUAUGCCCAAUUCUCCUUAUCCUUUCUGCAUCCUGAGGAAAUGUUUCCAGAAACCCCUUGCUAAUCGUGUUUAUGACAGAGGCUUUUGUCUCCCUGGGGAUUAGAGUCAAGUGUCACAUAGACCCUUAGAAGCCACUGCAGGAGCAGCUUGGACUUCCCCAUUUCUUCAUCCACUUGACUUCCUUCUUCCUGGGGGGGAGGGGGAGCUGGCCAGGGGCAGAUGACUGGUUCCCCGGUUCAUGCUCUGGUGGGUGGCUGCCAUUCUGCUCUCCCAGUGGGGGCACUGGACCUUUUCGUGCAGGCACAGGCUGUCACCUCUCUGGUUACACGUCCCCCUGACCCCACCCUAGUUGACUGGCCUGAGAGUCCACUUCGUUGUGGAAACUCAGGAAGGAUGGCACAGGGUGAAUUCGGGGCCGUCUUCAGCGGGCAGGUUAUUUUUUCCUGCCUGAGGGCUGCCUGCAGCGGUCAGCGAUCAUCAGAAUUGACUGGCAUGUAUCAAAGCCAAUGAAGGAGCAAGCCCUUCCAGCAUCUCCGCCCACUUCCCCAGUUCUCUCUGACGCCUGCACUCACUGGGACCUUCUCAGAGGAAGAAUGCCAGAGACAUAAUUUCCAUCAAAGCAAGAAAAGGAGGAUGUCAGCCUCUCACACAAAGGCCAAACACAGGGCAAAUGAAAGCACCAGCAAAAGGACACUUGCGUUCCAAGUUUACACUGUGCAGCCAGGACUCAAUUGUCUGAGUUGGUAAAGAUGAAAUAGACAGUCGAGAUCCAUCAAUGCUAAUUUCCAAAUCUCACUUUAACGAAUAGAUUCAACUAAAGAUUUCAAAGUUAAUCAUAUUCUUCAAAAAGUUAAGCAUUGAAUUACCAUAUGACCCAGCAAUUCCACUCCUAGGUAUAUAUCCAAAAGAAUCAAAAGCAUGUAUUCAAACAAAUACUUGUACUCUUGGUCAUAGCAGUACUAUUUCAAUAGCCUGUGUCCAUCAAUAGAUGACUGGAUAAACAAAAUGUGGUCUAGCCACGUGAUGGAACAUUAUUCAGCCAUAAAAAAGACGGAAGUCCUGAUGCAUGCUUCUACAUGGAGGAACCUUGAAAACAUGCUGUGUGAAAGAAGCCAGACACAAAAGACCGCAUGUUGUAUGAUUCUAUUUACGUGAAACAUCCAGAAUAGGCAAAUCCAUGGAGAGAGAAAGGAGAUUAGGGGUUGCCAGGGGCUGAGGGGAGGGAGGAAAGGGGAGUGAUUACUUAAUAGGUACAAGGUUUCAUUUUAGGGUGAUGAAAAUGUUUGGGAACUGGAUAGAGGUGGUGGGUGCACAACAUUGUAAAUGUACUAGAUGCCCUGAAUUGGUCACUUUCAAAUGGUUAAUUUUAUGUUACGUGAAUUUUACCACAAUAAAAAAAUGCAAAAAAGGAAAAAAGAAAGAAAAGUAAAUCAUAGUCCCAUUUCCUCACACCCUAGUGUCUUGUUAUGAGGAGACAGGAGAGGAGUCAGGAGUGGAGUGAGUUUCUGGGUUUUUAACUCUUUUCUGCCAUGGCAAUUUGAUGAAGCCUACAGAUCCUUUCUUAGAAUUAUGUGAAUGCAGAAAAUAAAAAGCCUGGAUUAUGAAUUAAAGCAAUUAUACUUCAUACAGUUACCGAAAGAGUUUUAGACAUUGUGAGAUAGUCCUAUAUGUGCAUCUUUAUGCAUUAAAUAACACAAGCAAGCAGUAGGUCUCAUAUCCAGCAUAAAUUCAAAAUGGUGAUCAGUGUGUAGAUAGCUGCAAAACAGGAACAGACAUAAAAAUCUCUGUGAUUUCUGUUGUUGAUACAAUCACAGGAACUGCUAACCGUGCAGAGUCCCAACAUUCUUUAUGGACUGAACGCUUGUCUGAAUGAAGGCAGCUGUCUAUAAGCCAGGAAGCCGGGCCUCGCCAGGAACUGAAUUGCACCUUGAUCUUGGACUUUCCAGCCUCCAGAAGUGUGAGAAAUAAAUGUCUGCUGUUUAAGGCGCCCAGUCUAUGGUAUUUUGUUACAGCAAGCCGAGCUAAGAGACUUGCCUACAUGCAAACUUGGAGGAAGUGCUAACGCCCAGCCCAGUUAGAGGCGAAUGAAAAUAAAGAUGUGAUUUUUUUCCCGUUCUAAGUUCAUGGACUCCCUCCAUUUUCUCCAAAGAUCUCUUGGUUGUCUGUGCAGCCCAGUCCAUCUAAGGGAGGGAUAUCUCGAACUAGAGAAAGUCACCAACAGGGUUUCUGAGAGAGAAUGGAAGCGAUGGCCUGGCUCUCAAGAACUGGAUAAACCACAGAUAUCUCUGCUCUUGAAAUUUAAUUUACCAUUUCCGCAUGUUCUCUGCAUGGCCUAAGUUCCACAGUCUAUACCAGCAGCUUACCUAAAAGGGUUUAGGCAGCAGCUCAGAGGAACCGGUAAAUUGGACAACGGUUGAGGAAAAAAACAAAAACAGCUUAUAGGUGUCACCUUACAUUUUGGGCUGUAGUAAUUCCUUACGUAAUACAACUUGUAUUUAGAUGG